rnacentral:rRNA from 1 species
UGAGGAAUAUUGGUCAAUGGGCUUACGCCUGAACCAGCCAAGUCGCGUGAGGGAAGACUGCCCUAUGGGUUGUAAACCUCUUUUGUCUAGGGAGCAAUUGGCGCUACGUGUAGCGUUAUCGAGAGUACCUGAAGAAAAGCAUCGGCUAACUCCGUGCC